CCUUUACAUGAAUCCGAUGGAAGUAAGGCAUGAGUUGAAGUUAUAUUUCAACUAAAUCUGCACAGCAUUGUCAAUAUCGAAUCAUCUACAUUGAUCGAGGAUCAUGUGGAAGAUUUUGUUACAACGCGUGAUAAUCAUUCAAAUUCUGACACAAUGGAUGUCGAGCCCAUUUCUGAGACAGAUCAAAAUGUCAAUGAACAUAGUAUCAAUCAGAAGAGUGAACCUCCACAUAGUUCUAUAUGAUUCAUGUUGGUGAUUUGAGUAAAUAAAGUGUUAUGUUACUAUCAUAGAAAAGAUAAAGCUAACAGAAGGCUUAAUUUACCAGUGAGUGAGAACAUCUUCGGAGGAAUGACCGGUGCUGAAUUCGUGGAAGCACGAGAAAAAGAACGUCAGUUAAUCCAGCAGGCUGUAGCAAUGGAGUUAACCAAAAACAAGGGGAACACUUUGGAGUCAUUCGUCUACGACACGAGGAAUAAGCUCUUAAACGAAUACCGUAAUUUUGCAAGUGAACAAGAGAAGGAUGAAAUAUCCAGGAGCCUCGAAGAGGCUAAGAAAUGGCAUUAUAAUGAAGGACAUGAAGAAAUACUACAUACUUAUUUUGUCAAAUAGCGGCUAUCACAGCGCUAUAGCAUAGCGCAAUUUGAACAAAUUGCUAUUGUUCCAAAAGAUACUAUUUAGUACAAAGUGUUGUCAAAUAGCCGCAUUAUAGCACUGUAACAGACCUGAACUCUAUGCAGUCACAAAUCAGUGACUGUAUGCACUCAGACAAAUGAUGAUGUGAUGUCCCGUGAACUGAACUUUUCAUUAGCUGUUAACUUCAGACAAAUGUAUAUUUUCAUUCUUUUGACACUUUUACCAAAUUUGGGAGUUGAGAAAGAGAAAUCUAACAUUUUCUUGUACAUUCUAAUCAUUUUCUUGUACCAAAUU